rnacentral:lncRNA from 1 species
UGGGAAAAGAUGACCAAGGAUGGAGCUCCCCAGGAGGGUUAGCUGUGGGGCAGAGGUCAGGAAGAAGAAAAGAAAGAGGCAAGUCAAGGAGACGAUCAAAGUUCCAGAAGAAUAGCAGCAAGAAAGAGGCUCGAUGCUACAAGUGCAAUGAGAUCGGGCACUUCAAGCGAGAUUGCCCGCAGUGGAAGAGCAAGAAGAGAAACAAGGGAGGAUCUGAUGUGCUGAGUACGAUAGCUGAUCAAGAGGUGGAGGAUGACCUUUUGGUGGUAUCC